CGUGGAUCGAUUUGUCUGGUUUAUUCCGAUAACGAGCGAGACUCUAGCCUACUAAAUAGCGGGUGGAUUAUUGCUGUCCGCACCGCUUCUUAGAGGGAUUUUCGGUGUUUAGCCGCACGAGAUUGAGCAAUAACAGGUCUGUGAUGCCCUUAGAUGUCCGGGGCUGCACGCGCGCUACACUGGCAAAAUCAGCGUGCUGUAUCCAUUCUCGAAAGGGAUUGGUAAACCCCAUGAAAAUUUGCCGUGCUUGGGAUCGGAAAUUGCAAUUAUUUUCCGUGAACGAGGAAUUCCAAGUAAGUGCGAGUCAUCAACUCGCUCUGAAUACGUCCCUGCCCUUUGUAC
rnacentral:rRNA from 1 species